rnacentral:rRNA from 1 species
GAUGAGCUUCUUCGGAGUGGAUUAGCGGCGGACGGGUGCUUUAAAGUGGGUAACCUGCCUUAUAGAGGGGAAUAGCCUUUCGAAAGAGAGAUUAAUACCGCAUAAGAUUGUAGCUUCGCAUGGAGCAGCAAUUAAAGGAGCAAUCCGCUAUAAAAUGGACCCGCGGCGCAUUAGCUAGUUGGUGAGGUAACGGCUCACCAAGGCCACGAUGCGUAGCCGACCUGAGAGGGUGACCGGCCACAUUGGGACUGAGACACGGCCCAGACUCCUACGGGAGGCAGCAGUGGGGAAUAUUGCACAAUGGGGGAAACCCUGAUGCAGCAACGCCGCGUGAGUGAUGACGGUCUUCGGAUUGUAAAGCUCUGUCUUUGGGGACGAUAAUGACGGUACCCAAGGAGGAAGCCACGGCUAACUACGUGCCAGCAGCCGCGGUAAUACGUAGGUGGCAAGCGUUGUCCGGAUUUACUGGGCGUAAAGGGAGCGUAGGCGGACUUUUAAGUGGGAUGUGAAAUACCUGGGCUUAACCUGGGUGCUGCAUUCCAAACUGGAAGUCUAGAGUGCAGGAGGGGAAAGUGGAAUUCCUAGUGUAGCGGUGAAAUGCUUAGAGAUUAUGAAGAACACCGGUGGC